GAAAUGCGAUAAGUAAUGUGAAUUGCAGAAUUCAGUGAAUCAUCGAAUCUUUGAACGCACCUUGCGCUCCUUGGUAUUCCGAGGAGCAUGCCUGUUUGAGUGUCAUUAAUUUCUCAACCUCACCAGCUUUUGCUGAGUGCAGGCUUGGAUGUGGGGGUUGCAGGUCCGCUAACGUGGUCUGCUCCUCUGAAAUGUAUUAGUGGGUUGGGCCCCUAAUCUAUUGGUGUGAUAAUUAUCUACGCCGUGGAUUUGGGUGGCUGACUUAGACCCGCUUCUAACCGUCCUUCACCGGACAACUCUUGACAAUUUUGACCUCAAAUCAGGUAAGACUACCCGCUGAACUUAA
rnacentral:misc_RNA from 1 species